AGAAUGAAUUUCUUUCAAGAGAAUUGAUUGAAAAGGAAAAAGAUUUAGAAAGAAGUAGGACAGUAAUUACUAAAUUUCAGAAUAAACUAAAAGAAUUAGUUGAAGAAAAUAAGCAACUUGAAGAAGGUAUGAAGGAAAUUUUGCAAGCCAUUAAGGACAUGCCAAAGGAUUCUGAUGUGAAAGGAAGUGAAACAUCUUUAAUCAUCCCAAGUCUUGAAAGACUGGUUAAUGCUAUGGAAUCAAAGAAUGCAGAAGGAAUCUUCGAUGCUAGUUUGCAUCUGAAAGCCCAAGUUGAUCAACUUACAGGAAGGAAUGAAGAAUUAAGGCAAGAACUCAGGGAAUCUCGGAAAGAAGCAGUAAAUUAUUCCCAGCAGUUGGUAAAAGCAAACUUAAAGAUUGAUCACCUUGAGAAAGAAACAGACCUUCUGCGUCAAUCUUCAGGCUCCAAUGUAGUUUACAAAGGCAUAGACUUACCUGACGGGAUAGCACCAUCUAGUGCCUACAUCAUCAACUCUCAGAAUGAGUAUUUAAUACAUCUUUUGCAGGUAC
rnacentral:lncRNA from 1 species